rnacentral:rRNA from 1 species
GGCAGAAAUAUCUACCUCGUCAGCCCCUCUCUUUCCUUCAUCUCUUCUUCGUCCUAUUCCUCUUCUACAGGCAGCCGCCGGCGCCGCUUCCUCCCUCCCUCUCGGCUGCCUUGUCUCCUCUGCCUCCACCUCCUCCUCCCAUGUCUCCUCACUCGACCUCCCCUGCCUCCUCACCUGACUGGCACAGAUAGGACGAUGUGCAGUCAAAGGGAGAUGGCGGCGCUCGAUCCGAUCUGUAGGAGAGAGAAGAUGAGAGGGAGAGAUAGAAGGAAGGAGAGAAUGGAUGGUGUGGUCUUCAUGACGCGUGUGGAGGAGCAGGAGAGAAGAUGGGAGAGAGAGGGAGAGGAUCUUGAGGAAGAGUAUAGGACAAGGUGAUCUCUCUCUCUCUCUCUCUCAUCUGCCUAGAUUGAUUUCGUUUCCAGGUUAUAAUUUUUACGGGGGGCAAAUGCUUCAGAAAAUCUGUGCUGCAUACUGGAAUCAUGUUGUUCAAGGUAAAACCAGCAAAGUUCUCUUUGAUGUUCUUUACAUUAGAUUAACCUGUUUCUUGCAAUAUCCCAAUUUUUUUUGCCUAUUUUAGUGCAAUAUUUAGAACUGUACUAACCACAGAUUCAGUUUGGAAUUUGAACUAUGUCCCGUCGUUUAUGUUUGAGACACUCGAACAUCCGGAGGCUAGCCCAUAGCCCCAUACUACAUCACCAUAUGUUGUCAUCUUUUGAUCCGAGCAAAUGUUGAAGUAAAAAAAACACCAUUAGUAAGAGAGUAUAUAUGUAUAUUUCAAGAAAGGAUGGGUGAAAUAGCAGGUCAGAGAUGCUACAAUAUACUCCCUCCGUUCGGAAUUACUUGUCGUAGAAAUGGAUGUAUCUAGACGUAUUUUAGUUUUAGAUACAUCCAUUUCCGAGACAAGUAAUUCCGAACGGAGGGAGUACUUUGUUUGUUUGGGUUGGGGAGCCAGCCAGCGCACCGCCUCGUCAGUUUUGCACCGCUGCCA